CUACGGGUGGCUGCAGUGGGGAAUAUUGGACAAUGGGGGAAACCCUGAUCCAGCAAUGCCGCGUGUGUGAAGAAGGCCUGCGGGUUGUAAAGCACUUUCGGUUGGGAGGACUGCUUCUAGCACUAAUAUUGUUGGAAGUUGACGUUACCUUCAGAAGAAGCACCGGCUAACUCCGUGCCAGCAGCGGCGGUAAUACGGAGGGUGCAAGCGUUAAUCGGAAUUACUGGGCGUAAAGCGCGCGUAGGCGGCUAGAUCAGUCGGGUGUGAAAGCCCCGGGCUUAACCUGGGAACUGCAUCCGAUACUGGCUAGCUUGAGUACAGGAGAGGGGGGUGGAAUUCCACGUGUAGCGGUGAAAUGCGUAGAUAUGUGGAGGAACACCAAUGGCGAAGGCAGCUCUCUGGCCUGAUACUGACGCUGAGGUGCGAAAGCGUGGGGAGCAAACAGGAUUAGAUACCCGUGUAGUC
rnacentral:rRNA from 1 species